rnacentral:rRNA from 1 species
UACGAAGGUCCCAAGCGUUAUCCGGAUUUAUUGGGUUUAAAGGGUGCGUAGGCGGGCUAUUAAGUCAGUGGUGAAAGCCCCAGCUUAACUUGGGAACUGCCAUUGAUACUGAUGGUCUUGAGUACAUUUGAGGUGGGCGGAAUGUGUCAUGUAGCGGUGAAAUGCUUAGAUAUGACACAGAACACCGAGUUGCGAAGGCAGCUCACUUAAACUGUAACUGACGC